UCUACUGCUUGCCAGGGAGAUUAAACUGCAAUUUUAACUUUUUUGACAUUGUGGCCACAGAACUGGUGAAUAUUGGCUAUCUGGUGCCCACAAAGAAGCACUGAGUGCUUAUCAGGGCAAGAUAGGCAAUACUUACCAGUCUUUUUGCAAUGGUGUUGAAAAAGUUUCUGUCCUCAUCCCUUUUGAAGUCUGGCUGACUGUGUGGGGGAGAGCUGCUUUCCUAAAUAAUUCAAUGUGAGUGAGGUUGCACGAGUCCUUGCCUUCUUGUGGCCCUUUUCUCUGUUCCAGAACCGCAGGUAUUUCCACGUGUUGUUGCUCAGCACUCCAAGUGCUCAGUGUCUGCAAAAGGCCUCACGUACCAAUCUUCAUAGGUCCCAUAAAACGUGAUCCAAGUGCACGCAGAAACUGUUCUGUCUUUCAGAACAUUGCAGCUCUAGCAGAAGCAGGGUGCUUGGACUUCAGAACAUUCUGCACGUCAUGUCUUGUAAGGAAGCCUUUGAGAUCUGUGCACUGCGUUCCUUGUGAUUCAUGUGUAGCCAGAUAUGAUCAGCAUUCUCUGUGGAUUGCACAGUGCACAGGUGUUGGGAACCAUCAUUACUACCUGUUGUUCCUGUCUUCCUUAACUGUGACCAGUGUCUGGCUGCUUUAUCUUCUGUGUAUGUAUCAGUGAACUUACUUCAAUUUAGCUGUCAUGGACCUGUGUAUGGUUUUUAUUCCUAGCUAGCAUAACUAAUUAUAACUGCACAAAUGGGCAACUCAGUCUAGUUCCAUCCCCAUCUCAGGAGUUGGAACUGAGUGAUCUUUAAGGUCACUUCCAGCCUAAGCUGUUCUGGGGUUCUGUACUGUAGAAAUGAGUCAGUGUUCUACUUGGAGUAAAAUGAACCCAGGUAUGGCAGUGGUGGACACAGAGUGAAUGUGAGUUGCUUUCCUGUGUUUCAGUGUGGUCUUAAGUGUGCAGAAGUUCAGUGUUCUCUGUUUUCCGUGUUCACGUGAACAGGGGAGGAAAACCACUUGAUUGCUGUACUGACAUAACAGCAAAACCUGUACUGGUUUUGUGUUUUUUAAGACAUGUCAUAGGCUUUGAGCAUCUCUUAGAAAUCUACAGGAGCUGAAUAUUCCAGUUUGUUUGUUUAAUAGUGUGAACAGUACUGCUUUCUUGUCACUGUUACAAUCUUCUUUUGUUGGUGGUGGUGUUUAAGGCAAAUCCUAAAACUAAUAAUUAGGGUGCAGCAAAAUUUCAGAAAGCUGGACGACGAGAGGUAAUUAUUAUUUCAAUAUCACCAGUUCACUUUAAUGUAAAAACAGAACAAAGUGUCCAGCCAGCUGUUGGAAUGUUCCCUCUGUGGAUUAUGGACACAGAAAGUAAAGGUUGUGCAACGAGAGCAGCGAGCAUGGCGUAUCCAUGUGAGUGUUUUGAGUGGGAAGCGGUGUUUUGAGAGCACACUGCUCUACAACACUUUGUGCAAAUAUUCUUUGCUUAGUGCAGGAGUGGUCAGUGUUAGAAAGGUAACGAAAUGAUUGUGAACCUUGUCAGAUUGGUCAAACCACUGCAUAACAAGUUACCAUGCAGAUGGACAUGGACGAACUUGACGCAGAUAACUUCUUGUUCUCCAUGGCUGUCCUACAUCUUCAUGCUAGCCUGCCUCCACACUGGAUGGGCUUCAUUGUGGCUAACUAUUCAGCUCUACCAGGGGUUAUUUUGCUUCAGUUCACAUUCCUCUCGUCAUGAGCUGCCACAUGAACAUGUUUCCCUAAGUGAUGUGUUGCCUUAAAGGCAUUGCACCUGCUUUCCUAUUCUGACGUCAUAUCUGGGUGCUCCCCUUAAACCUCAGAGCAGUCCUUUCAACUUUCACGGGUACGUGUGCACUUGUUAUUCUGAUGUUAAAAGUGGGAUCCAUUCUGCACAGCAUUCCUAUAUCUGAAUUCUAAUGGCAGUGUUGUCAAAAAUUCUAGCCUGUUGUGUGGGAACUGUUGAGUCACAGCCUGAGCCACUGAUGGAGCCCCUGGGGAAAGGACUGGGUCAGCCCUGGGAGCACAGGUGAAGGCAGUUCAGCUGUGUGACUGGAAGGGGUGGAGCCUGGCUGCACCUCUCUUAGACCCCAAUGAAGGGCUGACUGCCCCUGGGGAAGGAGCUCUUUCUGGAGAUCCCUCCCUGGUGGAGUUUUCCCCUGUGAGCCUAGAUCUGUGGAGAUGAGGGAGGUGUUAUAAGGGAAGGGGAAAAGAUUGUUUUCUGUUGCUCUGGUCCCUCUGUCAUUGCACCUCUUGUGUCCCCUUUCCAUUGGGUUGGUCUUUCUGAUUGUGAAACAUGUUUAACUAACGUGUUUAACUAAGGUUGAGCUAAGCUGUUGUUACUGUCCCAAAAUGGCCUGCGAACUCAAGUUGGAAAUUCCACGGCAGAGUUCAGCAGUGUGUUAUUAGGUUGCCGCAAUGAAAACGUGACCUGAAUUUCAUCCCCAUAAGGGCUGUCAAAUUUCUUCAAGUUUGUCCUUCUCCAGGAGGUGUUGGCGAAGCAAAUGCGGUUAAGAGCUUUCUGAACCACCUAAGAAACAGCUGUUUAACAUGGCUUAGGAUUCUCUUUUGGCUUAAGUGAAACUUAAGAUCAACUUUUAAGUCCCUAAAUGUGGCAGGAGUUACUUAGUGGUUAGAUAUGGCCAACGUCUUCCCAAUCCCUCCCCAUUAAAGAUUAUCUUUUGGUAUUGCCAGUAUUUAAAUUUGUCAUGUUCGUAUUUCAGCCGUUACUCGUGUUUUUCUUUCUCUAAGACUGCAUUCUUGGGACUGACCUCACAUGAGAGAAUGAACCUCCUGAUGGAGAGCAAAUCUUCUAAGCAUCCUGUUUCACUCAGGAGAAAUCCAUACAAUCUUGGAUGCUUCCAGAAUCUUGCAGACUUCUUUCAAUGCAGAUGUUUUGGUAUGGUCAAACCCAGUGGAGUUGACUGGACCCAGCAAUACAACGUUCACGUGAUAAAGAAGAAAAACGUUUGCUGUGUAUGAAUUCUUACUUGAUUUCUAAAGCUGCUGAGCUGUGUGAGAAAUAAAACUGGAUGUUUUGUUAAUCUUUA